rnacentral:rRNA from 1 species
GACGUAGGGCGCAAGCGUUGUCCGGAUUUAUUGGGCGUAAAGAGCUCGUAGGCGGCUUGUCGCGUCGACUGUGAAAACCCGCGGCUCAACCCGCGGGCCUGCAGCCGAUACGGGCAGGCUAGAGUUCGGUAGGGGAGACUGGAAUUCCUGGUGUAGCGGUGAAAUGCGCAGAUAUCGGGAAGAACACCCGUGGCGAAGGCGGCUCUCUGGGACGGUACUGACGCUGAGACGCGAAAGCGUGGGGGAGCGAACAGG